CUUCAAAAAACAUUAGCAGAUGUAAUCUGGCAUCCAUCCCAUACCCUUGAUCAAAAUUUUUAUUUAUCAAAAUGAGAACUAUUAUUAUGUUAUCAAAGAUCUCUAAAAUCUUAAAAUUGAAACACAUAACGAAACGAAGCCAUGUUUUCCAAUGCAAUUCAAGACACCUCAAGCAAUUCACGACUUUGACAAAUCCCAGAUUAGUCCAAUGUUAUGACUUCUGAGCUAAUAUUAUAUUAAAAAGAACAUUGUUAAAGCUGCAGGGAUUACAUUAACAAUGAUUUUGCCUUAUCCAAUUAUUAUCUACAAGGAAUGACCUUCUGAGUAUACUGAUUUCCCAAUUUCACAUGACCAGAAUUCAUUAAUAACAUCAAACCUUUUAUUUUGACAUCAUCAAACCCACCACCCCAGCAAUUAGGAUAGUGGGAUCACCAAGAACUGCAGAAAUCACAAACUAUAAUGCAAAUGCAGCAACUUCACAACAUUUUUGAAUUUUUCCUCAGAAAUCUCACAAAUUUAAUUCACCACCACUUCAGAAAUCUCACGCCACCGCACCUCUUACAACUUUGAGAUUAACGCACCUCGUUGCUCCACCUCGCAAAUUAACACCGCUCGUACGCUACACCUUGCAUAGAUUGAAGUCUCGCGUCGCCCCCAUCUCCUACAGUCGCUCCGAUGUGUGGUAAAGAGACGGAAGAGAUAAUAGAGAGAGACGACAGAGGGAGAGGGAGGAGAUGGAUCUGUAUCUGGGUAGUGGGUAGUGUUUUUAAUUUUUGG
rnacentral:lncRNA from 1 species